AUUGAACGCUGGCGGCAUGCCUAACACAUGCAAGUCGAACGGCAGCACAAUAAAGAUUUCGGUCUUUAUGGGUGGCGAGUGGCGGACGGGUGAGUAACGCGUAGGAAUCUGUCCUGGAGAGUGGGAUAACCCGAGGAAACUCGGGCUAAUACUGCAUGACAUUGAGAGAUCAAAAGCAGGGGACCGAAAGGCCUUGCGCUCUGGGGUGAGCCUACGUUGGAUUAGCUAGUUGGUGGGGUAAAGGCCUACCAAGGCGACGAUCCGUAGCUGGUCUGAGAGGAUGACCAGCCACACUGGGACUGAGACACGGCCCAGACUCCUACGGGAGGCAGCAGUGGGGAAUCUUGGACAAUGGGGGAAACCCUGAUCCAGCGAUGCCGCGUGUGUGAAGAAGGCCUUCGGGUUGUAAAGCACUUUAGGUGGGGAAGAAAGGUAGCGAGUGAAUAACUUUCUGCUGUGACGGUACCCACAGAAUAAGCACCGGCUAACUCUGUGCCAGCCGCCGCGGUAA
rnacentral:rRNA from 1 species